rnacentral:rRNA from 1 species
GUAGGUGGCAAGCGUUGUCCGGAAUUAUUGGGCGUAAAGCGCGCGCAGGCGGUUUUUUUAAGUCUGAUGUGAAAGCCCACGGCUCAACCGUGGAGGGUCAUUGGAAACUGGAGAACUUGAGUACAGAAGAGGAAAGCGGAAUUCCACGUGUAGCGGUGAAAUGCGUAGGGAUGUGGAGGAACACCAGUGGCGAAGGCGGCUUUCUGGUCUGUAACUGACGCUGAGGCGCGAAAGCGUGGGGAGCAAACAGGGAUUAGAUACCCUGGUAGUCCACGCCGUAAACGAUGAGUGCUAAGUGUUAGGGGGUUUCCCGCCCCUUAGUGCUGCAGCUAACGCAUUAAGCACUCCGCCUGGGGAGUACGGCCGCAAGGCUG